AGUUCUUGCAGCCUUCUGGAGUGAUGUGUGUCUUGCUUGAAGCCUUCUGCUACUGCUUUGGUCGCACUUGGUGUAUCCUGCCCAUCUCAACUGUGACAAAUUCUGCAACAGCCUGGGAGAUCAGGUUUUGGGUUUAUGGCAGGGUGAAGAGGAUGGCAAGGAAUCCAGGGGAGUUCUACCUGAGAUCACCCCAUGGAAUCAGUCAGUGGCACUCAAAUUUUGUGGAAUUAUGUCAUUAUUUUGGACAGAGACUCUUUGGUUGGUGUAGGUGGGUCAAGUUGGCUUGGAGCAGCAAAGUGGAGUAAUCAGUGGGUUGUGGCUGAAAUCAGAACCAUGUAUCAGAGGCUGGUUUGAUCUUGUACGUCAGUUGUUACUACAAAAAAAAAAAAAAAAAGAAAAAAAAAGACUGCUUGGUUGAAAUUGAAGAUAAGAGGAAAAUCUCCUGAGGAAAGUGUGAGCUGGCCCUGGUUUUGUACAGCCAAGGGAGCAGCAGGUGGGCACAGCCUGGUGACAUCCCUGAUCCCUGUCCCUGCAGUGGCACCCAGAGCUGUGACACCCUGAAAGGGCACAGCCCCAACACAGGACAAAGAAACCCCAUCCAAGCCUGGUACUUGUGCUUGAGGUAAUCUUUUUCUGCACAUAAACUUCCUAAAAAAGAUCCAUUGGAUCUUCCCAAGCUGCACAGCAGAGAACAGGAUUUUGGAUCCCUGUGAAAUGGCAGAGCUCCUGGGGCUUUGGCAGAUCAGGAUUUCAGCUGUAUUUUCAAUAACUCCUGUGAUGUUUCUCCUGGAGGAUCACAUCUCUUGAGGGCAUGCUUGUCACGCCUGCCAUGGGUAAAUUACCUUGAAGGUGCUCUGCCAGAAAUCUCAUUCUGGGCUGUUCCACUUUGCUUCCUAAUGGCUGAAUGGUUGAGUUAUCUGUGGGAGCUUAGUCACAUCAAGAUACUGCUCAGAGCAAGCCUUGAUUCAUUUAGCUGCAUAGGAGGUUUUUGGGAGAUGAUGGCUUCAUCAUGAGUCAGUUCUUCAUUAUCACAUUCCUGGGAUGUUACACAGCAAUAUUGGAGCUGCCACGAGCAGGGGCAGAUGAAUGAUAGCAGAUGAGAUGGACCUUGUCUGUGAUAAUGGUGAACGUGUCACGCCUCAGACGGAUGCAAAGGGCCAAGUGCUGCAUCAGGCUGCUCAUGCAAGGAGACAGGAGCCUUCCCCAGCCCUGCCUGCACUCAGCUUAAAUAUAGAAAUGGGAAAGUGACUUUGCAGCUUGAUUUCUGCUACGCCUAACCAUGCCUAAUCAUUCUUUUUGAAAAGCUUGUUAAGGUAUUCUCGUCAAUUAGCACUUGUUUCAGUGAGCUUCACGGAUUAAUUAGAUGUUGCAUUACAAAAAUAAUUAUGCCUUUUAGCCAUUUUCAGUUAUUUACUUCCUUAAAUGUUGGGUUUGUGAGGCAGAGGCUGGCUUGGUGCCACAGUCAUUUGGGUAGAAUCUAACACAGAUUAAUGAGCAAACUUGAAAAGCAAGCAGUGAGUUCCCCAGUGUUUUGUAAUUAAGCAGUUUGAUUAAAAACAACUGGAACAACUCUGUGCACUGAGAAACAAAGUGGGAACAGCUCUCUGCACUGAGACCUCUGUAACAACAAGUAUCAAACCCAGGGCUGAAAGCAAUUUAAGGAGCUUGAAAGUUUUCUUGGCUACCUGAUGGUUUUGUCAGAGAAGUUUUUGAAGAGUAGGCAUUGAGGCAGUGCAGAUGUUCUUCCCCAGCCUUCAAACCCACAAUGACAGAGGGAUACACUGACUUUUUUUUGAGGCAGGAACUCAAAUGCUUGUCUUCACACGCUUGUGCUGCUCCAUGGGCACAGCCUGUGUAGUUAAAAGGAGCUGUAUUGUACUUUAGGCUUCUUUAAAAAAAUAAAAAAAUCAAACAAUUCUGCAGCA